ACCUACCUAUUACUAAGUCAACAUCUUCCUCCUCCAAUUCACAAUUCGAAGAACAACCUUCUCUCUCACUCCCUGACCCUGCCGCCGCCAGCCACUUCGCCGCCGCUCGCCAGCGCCGCCGCUCCGGCGGCGCCUCUCUCUCCAGCCGCGCCUCUCUCUCUCUCUCUCUCUCUCUCUCUCUCUCUUCUCUCUCAGUCGCUCGCCACCCCCUGCUGGUCCAGAUUCGCCGCCGCCGCCGUGCAUGCACGGGCGGCGGCUUCAUCGUCCUCUUCCCGGGGGUUCGCCGCCUACGUGCUCCCUCUCUCCUUCUCUGUGCAGAUUCGCCACACCGCCACCACCGUUGCGGGUCCGCCGCCGCAGUGAGUUCGCCGUCGCAGAGGGUUCGCGCCCCGUCGCCGUCGACGCCGAUUCCUGUCAGAUUCACGGAAAAGAUAAAAAGGGCAGUUGUGAUUUUAGAGCGUGGCUGCCAUCGAUGGCGACGGAGUGCCGAGCUCGUUGCCGGAAGUUCUUCGACAGAUUCCUAUAUCAUUUCAAGCUAAGUUCAUAUUUUCGUAUGAAAAAAAUUUGCUAUUCUUGUGUUUCUUGGAAUGUUAUAGAUACUAUGUCCUUGCUAAAUUGUUCAUAUGAAAUACCUAUAAAUGCUAAAUUGGUGUUCUAUAGUAAUGGGUACUAAGUUCAUAUGUUGGCAGAGACAUGCUUGGUAAUAUGUUGCAAUAUGUGAAGAAAGAGUGAGGUGUUAGAUGGUACUUACUUUUGUGGUGUGAAGAAGAGAAUGAGUGGUUGCUUUAGACUUUGUCCUCUAUGAGGUGGACGUCCUCUUCCUGCAGUGGAGGGAUUCUUACUGUUUUUUUUUUUUUUUGGAGAUGAGAUAAUUUUUGUAUGAGGUGGGGCAAGUGAAAGGGAUGGAUGAUAUUUAGGAGGAGGAAAAACAAGUUGCAGACAUAAUCCUAUCUCACAAAAUUCUCCUGACACUUGAGAUAUGGCUGUAUGAUACAGCAUUAAAUGCUGCAUUAAAAGUAGCUAAAAAAAAACGAUAUUUUAGGAUUUGCUAGGAUUUGUAUAGCUUUUCAAAUCUGCCUUGUCCUCCAUCUUGCCUUAUUUACUUCUUUAAAAUAUGCAUUUGCUUACUAUUGUUAAAUUUGGUGUAGGGAAGAACCCGUUUCCAGCUCGUGGUUGUCCGCGUUGUAGUUCCCGGUCUUCUUUUAGAACGAAGGAUGUAUUAAAUUUUUGCUGGAAUUUUAUGGAUGUAUCAGACAUUUUUAUUAUUUUGAUUUUUGGGAUCUUAUUUAUUUAUUUAAAAUUAUUAAA